rnacentral:rRNA from 1 species
GACGAACGCUGGCGGCGUGCUUAACACAUGCAAGUCGAACGGAAAGGCCCUGCUUUUGUGGGGUGCUCGAGUGGCGAACGGGUGAGUAACACGUGAGUAACCUGCCCUUGACUUUGGGAUAACUUCAGGAAACUGGGGCUAAUACCGGAUAGGAGCUCCUGCUGCAUGGUGGGGGUUGGAAAGUUUCGGCGGUUGGGGAUGGACUCGCGGCUUAUCAGCUUGUUGGUGGGGUAGUGGCUUACCAAGGCUUUGACGGGUAGCCGGCCUGAGAGGGUGACCGGCCACAUUGGGACUGAGAUACGGCCCAGACUCCUACGGGAGGCAGCAGUGGGGAAUAUUGCACAAUGGGCGGAAGCCUGAUGCAGCAACGCCGCGUGCGGGAUGACGGCCUUCGGGUUGUAAACCGCUUUCGCCUGGGACGAAGCGUGAGUGACGGUAAUGGGUAAAGAAGCACCGGCUAACUA